rnacentral:rRNA from 1 species
UACCCUAUUAUAAUAGAUAUUAAUUUUAUUCCUAGUUAGUAAUAGUUGGUUCUUGAAAUCUAAACAAUUUGGCGGUAUUUUACUCUUUUCAGAGGAACCUGUUCUUUAAUUGAUAUUCCACGAUUUUAUUUACUUAGGUUUGUAUCCAGUUUUUAUAUUUCCGUCAUAAGAAUAUUUUUAUAGGAUAAAUUUUCUUAAAUACUUUAAGGUACAAAUGUCAGGUCAAGAUGAAAUUGAUACUUAAGUAGUAAUGGGUUACAAUAAAAUUAUUUAUAUGGAUUUUUAGUUUUAUAAUUAUUUUGAAGGGGGA